AUUCCUAUUUGACUGCCACUUUUCUCCUAAUAGAUUCUAGUGGCUAUGCUUAUGAGAUAGAUUAGCAUUGCCAUCUGAAGGGGGAGGGUUUGUUUGUGUCCUCCUUCUGUAUGAAAUGACUAAAUAGAAGAAA